rnacentral:misc_RNA from 1 species
GAUGAAGAACGUAGCGAAAUGCGAUAAGUAAUGUGAAUUGCAGAAUUCAGUGAAUCAUCGAAUCUUUGAACGCAUCUUGCGCUCCUUGGUAUUCUGAGGAGCAUGCCUGUUUGAGUAUCAUUAAAUUCUCAACUACACUGACUUUGAAUUGGUGUGGCUUGGAUUUGGGGGGAAAAUUGUUGUGGGCUUUUUGUAUAGUCUGCUCCCCUGAAAUUGAUUAGCGGUACCUUUGUGGAACUGUCUACAGGUGUGAUAAUUAUCUACAUCUUAGACAUCUGCUGGAAUGCUGCUUUCUAAACCUUACUUGUAUUGACAAUCUUGACCUCAAAUCAGGUAGGACUACCCGCUGAACUUAAGCAUAUCAAUAAGCGGAGGA